ensembl:lncRNA
AUGGGCACAAGACACCAACAGAAAAGUCACGGAGGAAGACGCAGACGUGGCCAACAGGCACACGAGACCAUGCUCUGCAUCACUGGCCAUCAGGGAAGUACAGAUCAAAACCAGAAUGAGAUACCACCUCACAGCGGUGAGGACAUUGCCAGGACAGGAAACACCAAAUGUGGGAGAGGCCGUGGAGAAAGNGGGGAACAUUUUCAAAAUGCAAAAAUUUCAGAAGUAGCCGUACUCACCUGUAAGGGACCAAGGAGGGGGGGCGGGCUCCCGGCCAGGCUAGGGAGCCUAGGGGGGGACCUGAGAGCGGGGAGGGGGGCGGAGGAAGAGCCAAGGGCCUCGGGGGGCUCCCGGGGCCCAGCAGCCCAGGCCCUCAAGCCGCCGCCCCGAGGCCCUGCCCUGACGGUGGACGGUGCCUGCAUCCUCACCCCCCUGAGCGCGCGCGCAUGGGCUCGGCGGCACCUCCCUGAGCCGCCGGGAGGAGACCUGACCCGGAGGAGGCCCCACCGCACCGCCACCCCCCUCCGCCUACAGGUCCCGCCCCGCCUCCCCCGCGCAGCCCUCUGCCCCGCACCCUGGCGGCCCUCGCCAUGGGGGCGCCUCCGUGCGGCCCCCAAGGCCCGCUGUCCCCCGCGAGGUCCCUCCCAGGCACCCGCCGCGCCACACGCGAGGGCCAGAUGCUUCUCGCACAGCCACCCCGGGGCCCCUCACGCCUCCCGGGGCCCACGCCGACCUGCGCGCCAUGGCCGAGGCCUGAAGAGCCGCUGCCGGGAGCCCGCAGCGCCGGGAACCACCGGCCUGGAGCAGCGGCAGGGCAGCGCAACCUCCUGCCAGGGGGACUGCUGGGUCGGGUCCAUCUGGUCCAGUCGGGUCGCCAUGUCUGGGCCCAGCUCCUCCCGCGGCCACGCCCUGGCGCCCUUCGGGUCCCGCUCGGGGUCAGGCGCCGGGGCAAGCCCCCGGCCACGCCCCGGCCACGCCCCGGCCACGCCCCCCGCCGAGCCUGGAGGGGACCCGAGACCGCCUCCGCCUCCGCCCGCUGGGUCCCGAGGGACUCCUGCUCACCGAGGCACGAAGCCUCUCUCUGGCUCUGUGCCUCCCUCCCUGUCCCUCCGCCCGCCCCGGUCUCUGUCUCCCCCUCCCUGGCUCCCUGGCUCCCUGGCUCGCUCGCUCUCCCUCCGUUUGGCCCUGUCUCCCUCCCCCGACCCCCGUCUCUCUCCCUCUCUCCCUCCCUCCCAGUCUCUGUGUCCCUCCCAGUCUUUCUUCUCUCACUCGCUAGCUCGGCCUGUCCCUCCCUGUCUCUCGGUCUCUCACUUGUCUCCCUCCCUGUCUCAUUCUCUCCAUCCUGUCUCUGUCUCGGUCUCUCCUCCCUCCCUGUCUCUGACUCUCCCUCCCUGUCUCAGUCUCCCCUCCUGUCUCUCGGUCUCCCUCCCUGCACCUUGGUCUCUCCCCUCUGGCUCAUCUCUCCCUCCCUGUCUCUGGAUCCCUCCUUCCCUGUCCUGUGUCUCUCCCCCUGUCUCCAUCUCUCUCUCCCUCCCUGUCUGUCUGUCUCUUCCUCCCUGUCUCUCGGUGUCUCUCCCUCCCUGUCUCUCUGACUCUCCUUCCGUGUCUGGCUCUCUCCCUCCUUGUCUCGGUCUCUCCCUCGCCGCCCUCUCGCUGUCUCUCCCUCNCCCCCCCCCCCCCCUAUUGUGGCCCCCCCCCCCCCCCGUGUCUGUCCGUCCCUCCCCUCCAGUUCUCUGUCUCUCCUUCCCUCUCCUCGUUAGUGAAAGAAAGGACGAGAACCGUAGGAUUCUCUCAGUAGAUGCAGAAAAAGCAUUUGACAAAACAGACCAUCCUUCCAUGAUGGAAACCUUCUGCCAGGUAUGGAUACCGGGAACAAACCUCAAUUAUCAUAAAAGCCAUCUACAAAAGACCCAGAGGGAACGUCCUCUUCAUUGGCAAAAACCUGGAGCUUUUCCCUUAAGGUCAGGAACACGACAGGGUGUCCACCCUCAACGCUGUUGUCCGGCAGAGUGGGAGUGGUCCUAG